GAUGAACGCUAGCGGCAGGCUUAAUACAUGCAAGUCGUGGGGCAGCAGGGCUGUAGCAAUACAGUUGCUGGCGACCGGCAAACGGGUGCGUAACACGUACGCAACCUUCCCGUUACUGUGGCAUAGCCCAGGGAAACUUGGAUUAAUACCACAUAUUAUAUUGGAGAGGCAUCUCUUUGAUAUCAAAGCUUCGGCGGUAACGGAUGGGCGUGCGGUUGAUUAGGUAGUUGGCGGGGUAACGGCCCACCAAGCCUACGAUCAAUAGCUGGUGUGAGAGCACGACCAGUCACACGGGCACUGAGACACGGGCCCGACUACUACGGGAGGCAGCAGUAAGGAAUAUUGGUCAAUGGACGAAAGUCUGAACCAGCCAUGCCGCGUGGAGGAUGAAGGUCCUCUGGAUUGUAAACUUCUUUUAUAUGGGACGAAAAAAGGGUUUUCUAACUCGUCUGACGGUACCAUAUGAAUAAGCACCGGCUAACUCCGUGCCAGCAGCCGCCGUAAGAC
rnacentral:rRNA from 1 species